GCAAGUGAGCGUCCCGGGGAGGGGCCAGGCAGGGCGCUGCAGGGCAGGGGGCUUCCUCCUUCCUGUCGCUGACUGCAGCUCACCCUUGGCACAAGCCUGCCCGGCGGCUCCCGGCAAUCAUAUUUUAUCAAAUACUGGGGUGAGAACCACUAGGUAAUUUGCUAACUAACCAAUCCCAGGCGUCACCUGUGACAAGAACAUGAAAUGCUGGAGCUGAGAGAGCAACGAAAGGAACAAGACAAAGCAGAAACCCAAGCAGGCUUAGAGGACCCCGGGUAAGCUUGGCACGGUGGACGGCAGCUCCUGCCCUCUUCCCUGCUGAAACCCAGCCCAAGGGCUCGUGUCGUGAAGCAGGAACAGCAGGAAGUGCCCAGCUGAGGUGAAUACCACAGUGUGCAGAAUCUCUUGUUCACCUGAGACAGGAGAUGGGCAGGCCUCUGGAGACUCGGUGACUGAGGACCUCACCUGGUUCAUUACCAAGUUCCUUAGUGAUGCUAAGAGCCUCAAAAUCCAGUACGCAGGGCUAGGCGUAGCAGUGGCCUAGCACGCAGGAGGCCCAGGGUGUGAUCUCUAGCACAGCUCAGUAUGUUAAUUAAUUAAAAAUUUAAAACUCCAGUGCACAUGCCAGAAGUCAGGCCUGUGACCUUGGGAAGAGGCAGGUGCCAAGGGCCCGCGUGGGGAUGGACAUGCCAGCGUGGGCACUGAGCAGCCAGGCAGCACAGGGUGGGAGGCCCCGCGGCCCCAGGUGGCCUGGGCACCAGUACUGCCCACUGCCUGGCUGUGCCUCAGGGCGGAGAGGGGCUCACUCAACUGCGUCGCAGAAGGCGGUUGUUGGGGGUGGGCAGGAGGCAGGAUCUGCCUUAUGGUAGGUCAGUUACACCAGGGCUCCCGAGCCUGGGGCUGCACCCUGCACCAGUCCUCGGCCUGUGGGAACGGGCCGUGCAGCAGGUGGACAGAGUGGACAAGCAAAGCUCCAUCUCUGUGGACACCAUCAACACUGCUCCCCACAUGGAGAUGGAGCACCCUGCAUUCCAGCCAAGCCGCUGGACUCUGUCAGAGGAAAAAGGGACCACGAAGGACAGAACCAGUGACUGCAGGCCAUUGCUUCAGCUGGUGUGUGGGCCUCCCCUCUCAGUGGCUCACAGCACCGCCAAAGCUGAGGAGCCCUUCCACAGGUGAAGGUGCCCCAGUUGCUGCUGAGGACCUUGUCAUGAACUUGUAGGGCAGGUGCGGUACAACCAGCGGCCCGUGCUCCUCUGUCGGCUAGCACCAUGACUAGAUGGUGCACCAAGGUACACAGACAGAAGGAUGCGCUCUCACGGAAGCUGGCAACAAGGCAUCAACGCUUGCUCUGUAUGAUUUAUUUUUCAGGAGGAUGUGCAUGAGGGUAUGCUAUGUGGACCUUUGUUACCAACUAAGACCACCCGAACUGCACUUCACAAACACUGACUUGGUCAGGUGCACAGACCGAGCAAAGAGUGGACGAUUUCUGGUUUGACUACUCGGGUCAAAGGCUGCUUCUGAAUGUCAUCCAUGGAGAAGUGCUGGCUAGCUGAAAAAUGUCACCUGAACUUAACAGUGUUCUGCAGGAUGUGACUAUCAAGCACAGUCCAGUGCAUGCCCUUAGCUCGGGUCAUUCACACAGCCGUGAGAGAAGAUGGACACAGAGCACAUACGUGUUCUCUUACACACAGUGGUGAGAGGGCUGCGGAUCUGAGAGCUGCUCCAGAGAUGACUUUUUUUUUGGUACCGGGAUUGAACUCGGGACCUUGUGCUUGCGAGGCAGGCGCCGGAACCGCUGAGCUAAAUCCUCGGCCCUCCAGAGACGACUUUUUAGAAAGAGUCACCACCGCAGCACAUUUCGGUGAUGCAGAAUGGGUCACAAAUCUUGCUUACCUGUGUGACAUAUUCAGCCUGCUCAGUGAACUCAACCUCUCACUUCAGGGGGAACAACUGCUGUGCCCAGUCGGCAGACAGUGGCUGCGGCGGCCAAGCUGGGAUUAUGAGCGAUGAGUGACACUGGGUCACUGAUGUGUGCCAGACAUCAGCAGGGACUUUAACAGGACCUAGGCAUUCUUUCUCCCAGCUCGGAGACCAUGGGCUAACAGCUUUCAAAAGACACCGACCGGAAGGAAGGGUCCGUGGCCCACUUACGAACAAGCUACGUGAGCUGAUUUUGUCCGUGCUAGAGGAGAACCCACUGCGUGAGACUGUAAAAGGUGACAACUUCAGAUUUCCGUAUGUUCUGCGCCAAGUCAAGCUAGCGCAUCCUGAGUGUCACAGAAGCACUGACAAGCCUGCUUCCAUGUCUGAUUCCUGUCCUUGUGAGGCACGGUUUUCUUCAGUGACAGCAACCAGAACGAGCCUACGAAGUAGACUGGAGUUAAACAACACACUCCAGGGGUCACUGUCUCCCCAGCACCCCAGAAGGGACCAUCUCCUCGCAGGAAAACAAGUCAGGGCUCCCACCGAUUCUUCAUUAUGUACUACAGUGUGCUAAUGAUGGAAAUACAGUGCACAAUAACUGGAAUGCACCUGACUCAUCCUGAAACCAUCCCCACCCCAGCCUGUAGAUAAAUGGACUUCCACGAUACUGGUCGCUGGUGCCGAAAGGUUGGGAACUGCUGGCUCAGACCAUGGAAGAGGAGCUGUGACUGCAGGCUGCAGGGGUGAGGAGGCCAGGGGUACAGGGGAAGUGGACCCAAGUCACACAUUUGCCUGACUGUCAGGGCGUCCAGAUGAGUGGCACGGUGCGUGAAAGGCAGUGUGAGGACCCGUGGCAUUCCAGAAGCAGGCAGAGAGCCACGAGGGUGACAGGGCGUUCCCAGACACUCCUGGGUCCCCUCCGGCCCGUGCCUGCUUGGCCGAGGCCCUGUGAGAGUUCUGGGUCUCCAGCUCUCCUGUGCCCUGGGUGCUGGGCCAGCCGUGAGCGCUGCACGUGCUCUCCGCAGGAGGAGUGAGAGCGGAGACUUGGGCAGCUGCAGCCCCAGGCGCUGCGUGGCUGUCCUCGAGAGAAUCUGGGAGUGCAGUCCGGCUCCGUCCUGGCUCUGACCCGCCGUGCAGCCCCCAGCACCCCCAGCGUGCCAUCACUCACACCUGCCUGUGUCCCAGCCCCACCCACCACAGCUGAUCCCUGCAGCUCCCUGCCCGCAGUGGUGCUGGCCGCCUGAGGGCACGGAGAGCGCCCACACCCUGGCAGAGCUGAGCUUGAGGACCGAGGGUGAGGCCCGAGCUGCAGGGGCGCCCUCACGGGUCUCUUGAGGGUGGGCGCAGUCACACAUUCCCGACUGAAGCUGGGAGCCUUUCCCAGUCCCAAGCUCUGCAGACUGCUUUCCCAGAAGCGAUCAGGAUCGAGCCACCCAGCCACCUCCCCGCUGUGUUUUCUACAAACUGGUGCUGCCUGGCCCCACAGCCUUUCUUGGUGACGCGGUCCCAAGGUUUGGGUGAAGGAACCGUGGAAGAACUGGUGACAGUGAAGGCCUCCUGUGCACCCUGCACACGCAUUCCACAUGGCCCUCGUGGGAACAGCUGCUCCUGCUGUGCAGUGCACCGGUCAGCCGAUGUGUCCACGGUGACAGGCGUUAGUUAGCACCCUUGGGCCACGGAUUAUGGGAGGGCUCACCUGGAGUGUUUUCCCUGGGUCUGGGCAGGCACACCCACCAUACGUAUUACUUUCAAAAACUGUGGUCAAGUACACAUAGGUUCAUCACGUGACCAUUCCUAGGGGAGUUCAGCGGCGCUGUGCACACUGCUGUGUAGCUGUCACGUCACCCAGCUCGGGCCUCCUAGAAGUGGGUCUGGGCAGUAUCUGUCCCCUUGUGACCAGCUUCUCUCUUGGCACGAUGUGCUCCAGGUCCAUCCAUGCCAUCACAGGUAUCGGAAUGUGCCUCCUUUUCAAGGCUGAGUGAGGUUCUCUGCCGUGAAUGACUCAUUUGGCUUACUGGUCACCCACUGAGGACACUUGGGCACCUUCCACCACCCGGCUGUUGAGAGGAAUGCUCUGAGCUCCUUUGAGACCCAUUUGCAAUUCUUUCAGGUACUCACAAUUUGCCUCGCAUUUGCAGGGUCCACAUUCACAUAUUUACGCAAAUACAAACUGGAAACAUUUGUUUAAAAAAUAUAUACAUACCUGUGCUGAACCUGCACAGAACCGGUUCUUUGUGGUUACUCCCUAAACGAUACAGUGUAGCAGCUAUUGACACAGCACUUCCAUUGCAUGAGGUGUUCACAGUAUCCAGAGGAUGUGUGUGGGUUCUAUGCAAAUACUAUGUCAUUUUAUACCCGGUAAGUGAACUGAGUCUGAGGCAGUGGUGUGUCUGCUCAGCUGUCAGGAGCAGCACAGGCUGGGACUUCACUGCAAGUGCAUGCCAGGUGCGGGCCAGACCCUCUCCAGGUGAGGGCCACCUCCCCACUUCAGAGGGAGCCCAGGUGCCUCCCCUUCUGAUGAAAACACCCGUUCACAGUUGUCACAGACGUGGACGCUCAGGUGGCCUCAAGUGCUGGUGGGGCUGCUCAGGCUGCCUCUGCACCCUUCUCUGUGCCCAGGGCUGGUGAGUGCGCCCCUUCCCCAUGAGGCAGGGACCUCUCUACCCUGCACCACACCCCCAUACCUCAAAGGACCCUGUCCUGUUCAGUGAUCAAGGUUUGCAGGGGCAUAAGUGCAUCGCUAGCAAGCCCUGCACCUCCCCUUCCCGUGCACCCCUAGAAUACCAGAAUGCCAGCGACAGAGGAACACUGGGUUUGAAAAGGAAUUAGUGAGUGAUCAUCCUGGUACAAGUCGACCUGUGUGAGCUCAUAUCCAAGGUGCUUCAGGGGGUGCCGACGAGAGGGUGGGGUGGACUCGAGGAAGAGGGUAUUCUUGCAGCCUUGCAGGGUUUCCCCAGAUCACUGCUCAUGGGGGGCAGCAGCCAUUCUGUGUGGGUGUGGGCAGUGGGAGGAGACAACAGCUUUGUCAUGUGACCAAAAGGAACACCACCAAGAAGGGGCAGCCAGGCCAAGGGCUCCGGGUCUGACGUCCAAGAAAGAUGGUGGGACACAGUGCUCCAUCCCAACACACGCAGCUCGAGUCCCCCGACGGUACUGGACCACCCAGCAGAGGGCCGCUCUGCCAGCAAGCAGCUGGCAUCAUUCAAAAGCAGCAAUGUCAUCGAGACGGGAAGCCGAGGAAACACGGCAGGCGGAGACCAGAGAGACAACGAUGAAACACCGUUUGUGAGGCCCCCGACUCAGUCCUGGGCCAGUAGAGGCUGUCAGAGUGAGAACGUGAACUGCAGACCAGACGAAACACAGUGCUUCCAUCUCUGAACUGCUGUGGUUGCACAGGAGAAUAUUCCCAUUGCUAGGGAACGAACAUCAGUGGUAGUGAGUAAAGGGACCUGAGGCUGGGCGUGGUAAGUCGUCCCAGCAGUCAGGAGGCUGAGGCAGGAGGAUCAGUGUAAAGGCAGCCCAGGCCGUCUCGAGAAAAAAGAGGCCAAGAGUUGUGCAGUUAAGCAGGGAAGAAGGAAGGGGAGGACGGGUGGAGGCGCAGCAAGCAGCUCGAGCAUGUAACAAAAUGUUACAAUUUGAGAAAUCUGGGGCAAGAGUAUGUGAGAGGUUAUGUGGUUUUUGUUUCUAUUUCCCCAACUUUCCUGGUUAGUUCAAACUGGGCUCGUGGGUGCAUGCCUAUAAUCCUGGACAUUCAGGAGGCUGAAGCAGGAGGAUAAUAAGUCCAAGGCCAGUCUGGGCUCCACUCUGUGUCAAAAAAAAUAAAUAAAUAAAAU
rnacentral:lncRNA from 1 species